rnacentral:lncRNA from 1 species
AGAUAGAGAAAAAGAGGAAGAAAAAGAUGUUUCAAAGGAUAGGAGGUUGUUUUAGAAAAAAGAAAUAGAUACUUAAUACUAAAAUUGUAUCAUUUUUUUUACUAAUUUAUUAUUAAAUAAUUUUUAAUACUAAUUACCGGAUAGUUUAUUAUACGAGGUGGGAUUGUACUUAGUGUUGUGACCUAUAUUUAACUGACAAGGAGAGAGGGCUAGCGGCACAGAGAAAAUAUAAAAAGAGAUGUGUUUGUAGGGUUGUGUAGAGGAUGUGUUAUUCCCCCUAUGGAAUGCCUUUAUUUAUAGUAAUAAGAGAGAGAAGAAAUCCUUCUCCUCCAAGGAAUACAAGUCCUAAUAGGGAAGAAUAACUAGAAUCAAAUCUAAUAUAGGAUUUACACAAUCACACUUAAAUAAGAAGUUUAUAACACUCCCCCUUGAGUGUGUAAAUACUCAAGUAGAUUCGACAUCAUGUAAAGGUUGAGGAAGUCGACUCGUCGGCAUUGAUUCUAAGAACACACUAUUCUCAAAUAAGGUAGGAACUUGCAUAAGGAAAUAAGUCACACAAAAAACCCUAGGGCUAUGGUAAAAACCCGAGUAAGGACAAAAUCCAUAGUCUAAGGAAAAAUGUGUGAGUAAUGAAAGUUAAAUGAAAUGUCUACGGGACGUCAUUAGGGAUAUGAUCAACCCAAGGUCAGUGCCCCAUCAAAACCUCGCCAGGUAGCAAAAACCUAGUGGGAAAAAUACUGCUAAUCGUAGGGAAAAAGAGUACAUUAAGAUCAAGCAAGUAUACUUCAGAAUACUCCUCCUGAGUUAGACAUAAUUCCAAAGAGAACUAGCAAUGUUACAACUCAAAAAGUUUACGGAUAUCAAUUCCUUAAACAAGCUUCUGAAACGUCAUCUUCAAUAGUGAUUUGGUGAAGAGGUCGACCAUAUUGUCUUGUGAACAGAUUUGAUUGACUUUAAUCUUCUGAUGCUCUUGUUGUUGAUGUGAGAAGAAAAACUUUGGCGUAAUGUGCUUGGUGUUAUCUCCUUUGUAUAUAUAUAUAUAUUUUUACAUUUUUUACACUUCUACAAUAAUUAUUAUUAAUUAUAUUAAUUUUUCCCUCAAAUAAAAUGAGGGUUUGGAGGAUUUUAAAAAUCUAAAUGAUAAUGUAAGCGUAAUCAUUAUCUUCUAGUAGAAGAAUAAUGAUGAAUCAUGAGUGUUUAUAUUUCUUUCACAUUUUUCAUACUUGUAUGUAUGUCUUCUUAGUUCUUGUAUAUACAAAUACUCUACUAGUUUAUUUUAAUUUUGGACAACAACAUGUUAAGUAAAAUUUAUCCUAAUAAUCAUAAUAAGGUACUCUCAUAAUAAAAAUAAAUAAUGACUAAUUUUUUUUAUUUUUUUAAACUUAUAUAGAAUAAUAAUAUAAAACUAUAU